rnacentral:RNase_P_RNA from 1 species
GGAGUUGGCCAGGCAAUCGCUGCUCUCAGUUUUGAGGGGAGAGGAAAGUCCGGGCUCCAAAGGGCAGGGUGCCAGAUAACUUCUGGGCGGCGCGAGCCGACGACCAGUGCAGCAGAGAGUAGACCGCCUAAGCGCAUUAGCGCCGGUAAGGGUGAAAGGGUGCGGUAAGAGCGCACCGCGCGCCUGGCAACAGGUUGUGGCACGGUAAACUCCACCCGGAGCAAGACCAAGUAGGAUCCCAUAACGUGUGGCCCGCAUGGGGAUCGGGUAGGUUGCUUGAGCCAGUGAGUGAUUGCUGGCCUAGAGGAAUGAUUGCCCGCGACAGAACCCGGCUUAUCGGCCAACUCCACCC